rnacentral:rRNA from 1 species
UGGGGAAUAUUGGACAAUGGGCGAAAGCCUGAUCCAGCCAUGCCGCGUGUGUGAAGAAGGUCUUCGGAUUGUAAAGCACUUUAAGUUGGGAGGAAGGGCUGCAAGUUAAUACCUUGUAGUUUUGACGUUACCAACAGAAUAAGCACCGGCUAACUUCGUGCCAGCAGCCGCGGUAAUACGAAGGGUGCAAGCGUUAAUCGGAAUUACUGGGCGUAAAGCGCGCGUAGGUGGUUUGGUAAGAUGGAUGUGAAAUCCCCGGGCUCAACCUGGGAACUGCAUCCAUAACUGCCUGACUAGAGUACGGUAGAGGGUGGUGGAAUUUCCUGUGUAGCGGUUAAAUGCGUAGAUAUAGGAAGUAACACCAGUGGCGAAGGCGACCACCUGGACUGAUACUGACACUGAGGUGCGAAAGCGUGGGGAGCAAACA